ACCCGCAAUCAUGGGCCGAAUGGCCCAACCGUGGAAAUGAAAGCGCCCUGCCCUCCUCUUCCUGCCGCCGCCGCCGCAUCUUCCACAACCGAGACCUAAACUCUCUCCGAUCCCCACCAAUCCUCUGAGAUGGCCUCGACCUUCCGCGCCGCCGCCCGCGUGGCCUCCGCGGCCUGCCGCUCGGCGGCGUCCCGCUCCAUCCCCUCCGUCGGCCGCUCGGCCGCACGGCGCGCCCCGUGCAUCUCCAGGUUGCCGGUGGAGCUUGGGUGCGUCGCGGGGAUGUCGCUGCUGCCGCUGCACAGCGCGGUGGCCGCGGCGAGGCUGACCUCGCGGCUCAGCACGGCGUCCCGGAGCUGCUGCGCGCUCUCUCAGGGUAUCCUCUGUCGCACCUAUCCCGGACUUUAACGUCCUACGAUCGAUGAUGCUCUUGUCUGUCUUUUCCAUUUGGGCACAUGACUUGCUAGUUCACGAAAGAUGAAAAUGAUGAUACGUGAAACAUUUACGCAAAUGUCUUAAGAGAUGGGUCUAUCUGGUCCAAGGUGAUAAAACUCUGGAAGACCUGCUCAUGUCGUGCAAUCAGAUUGAUAAAUUUUUGUAGAGUAGUGAACUAAAUGAACUUCUGUGGUAAUUCAUUUUAUGCCACCUACAAUCAUGGUUCUAUUGGCCCUUUCCAAGUUCUGAGAUGUCUUAAUCUUUCUUGAUAUAAACAUGCAAGGAUGCAUUGCAAAGUUAUGGCUGUGUUUGUUAACAACAGUUCUGAAUGCCCUUUGUAUGAUUGAUGGGAAACGAGUUUAAUAAUGUGGUAUUGCCUGGUA